GAUGAACGCUGGCGGCGUGCCUAAUACAUGCAAGUCGAGCGAACAGACGAGGAGCUUGCUCCUCUGACGUUAGCGGCGGACGGGUGAGUAACACGUGGAUAACCUACCUAUAAGACUGGGAUCACUUCGGGAAACCGGAGCUAAUACCGGAUAAUAUCUUGAACCGCAUGGUUCAAUAGUGAAAUACGGUUUUGCUGUCUCUUAUCGCUGGAUCUGCGCCGCAUUAGCUAGUUGGUAAGGUAACGGCUUACCAAGGCGACGAUGCGUAGCCGACCGGAGGGGGGGAUCGGCCACACUAGAACUGAGACACGGUCCAGACGCCUACGGGACGCAGCAGUAGGGAAUCUUCCGCAAUGGGCGAAAGCCUGACGGAGCAACGCCGCGUGAGUGAUGAAGGUCUUCGGAUCGUAAAACUCUGUUAUUAGGGAAGAACAAAUGUGUAAGUAACUAUGCACGGCUUGACGGUACCUAAUCAGAAAGCCACGGCUAACUACGUG
rnacentral:rRNA from 1 species